UCCUGACCGUGCUAAGGUAGCAUAAUCAUUUGCCCUUUAAUUGGGGGGUAGAAUGAAUGGAAAAACGAAAUUUUAGCUGUGUCACACUUGUUACUUAAAAAUUAAACUUAAAGUGAAGAUGCUUUAAUCGUUUUGAAAGACAAGAAGACCCCGUAGAGUUUAAGAUUAAAAACUACCAGUGAAAUACCCAUCUUUAGUUGGGGCGACUCUGGAUAAAAUAAAUCAUCCUUCAAAAAAAAAACUUUAUGUUACUAAAUUGAUCCUACUUUAGAAUUAAAAAAUAAACUACCUCGGGGAUAACAGGCUUAUCUCCUUAUAAAGUUCACAUUACCAAGGAGGUUUGGCACCUCGAUGUUGGCUUAGAAA
rnacentral:rRNA from 1 species